CAAAACUGUCCUGUUGCUUGCUGACC
rnacentral:piRNA from 1 species